AAUUUAAAAAAAAAAGCGAAGAUUGUAUGGUUUUUCUCGCAGAUCAGUAAUCAAACAAUCAGAAGACCUCUGCACGAACAAGGUUUGCGAUCACCGGUUCGUGUUCGAGUGCCAAUAUUGCCAAUAGUUCAUCUACGCGCUCGUUCGAAAUAUGCACGCGCCCAUCGAAACUGAACUCUGAAAUAAUGAAGAAAUGUAUUGUUUACUGACGAAUCACGGUUUUAUCUGCAUGGCAAUGACGCAAGACUCCGUAUUUGGCGUUGUAGAGGACAACAUUUCGAGGAGAAUCAUGUCGAUCCGAUCUAGUUUUUUGGUAAUGGAACCAUUAUAGUAUGGGGUAGAAUAUCGAUGCACGAACGUACGGAUCUUGUAACUGUGCCACCUCCAAGAUUGACAGCGAUACGUUACAUGGAAGAAAUUUUGCGUCCUCACGUGACUCCGAUACGUCAGCAAAUAGGGCGCAAAUUUACCUUGAUGCAAGACAACGCUCGACCACAUACUACUAGAUAUGAUGGAAAGACGGUUGCGAAAUUUGGAGAAAGCACCUUCUAAUCUUCAAGAAUUCGAAGCAACGUUGAACCGAAUAUGGAAUAAAAUAGACAAGGAAUAAAAUUGCCCAAAGCAAUUACAGCUUGCAUCAAUCUGUUUCAGCGUCUACGAGAGGUGAUUCAAGGAUGAGAAAUCAUUCUAUUGUUCUCAACUACUAAAUUACAUUAUGCGACGAACAUCUGCCGUAUCGAAAAGGAUAUAAACUUUGUAUCAAGGAUUGUGCUUGUCGUUCAUAUUUGCCUGGAUAAUAAAA